AAAAUGUCAAUCACUGUCCUGAUGUUUCUGUUUUUGUUUGCAGACAUCGUGGCGUCACAACCCAUCAUCCAGCAGUCGCCUGCCUCCAUCCUGGUAGAGCCGGGACAAGCUGCCCAUCUCCACUGUUACCACGGCGAUAACAGCUAUCCCUACAUGCUCUGGUACCAGUCGGCGGCGGGAGGCGGCCGGCGGACCAUGGACCUGAUCGGACUGCUUCACUAUGAAAACCAAAGUCCCGAGAAGGGCUUCGAGGGUCGCUUCAACAUGACGGGUCAUUCCAAAGGCAAAGCUCAGCUGAUCGUCUCCGACGCCAAACCAGGAGACACAGCAGAGUAUUUCUGUGCAGCCAGUUAACACAGUGCUGCAUUUCCCCCGGCUGCUGCACAAAAACACUCCAGCUCACACCUGCAUGGACUGAGAGAUAAACGUCUGAAGUGAUGUCACUUCCUCCUGAUAGAUGCUAACCUCUCGGCUCAGUGAAGUUAAACCGUUUUUGCUCCUCUGAGGACAAAAUGAC